GGCGCAGCAGGCGAGAAAACUUUGCAAUGUGCGAAAGCACGACAAGGUUAAUCCGAGUGGUUUCUGCUAAAGGAACCUUUUGUUAGUCCUAGAAACACUAACGAAUAAGGGGUGGGCAAGUACUGGUGUCAGCCGCCGCGGUAAAACCAGCACCUCAAGUGGUCAGGAUGAUUAUUGGGCCUAAAGCAUCCGUAGCCGGCUCUGUAAGUUUUCGGUUAAAUCUGUACGCUCAACGUACAGGCUGCCGGGAAUACUGCAGAGCUAGGGAGUGGGAGAGGUAGACGGUACUCGGUAGGAAGGGGUAAAAUCCUUUGAUCUAUUGAUGACCACCUGUGGCGAAGGCGGUCUACCAGAGCACGUCCGACGGUGAGGGAUGAAAGCUGGGGGAGCAAACCGGAUUAGAUACCCGGGUAGUCCCAGCUGUAAACUAUGCAAACUCAGUGAUGCAUUGGCUUGUGGCCAAUGCAGUGCUGCAGGGAAGCCGUUAAGUUUGCCGCCUGGGAAGUACGUACGCAAGUAUGAAACUUAAAGGAAUUGGCGGGGGAGCACCACAAGGGGUGAAGCCUGCGGUUCAAUUGGAGUCAACGCCAGAAAUCUUACCCGGAGAGACAGCAGAAUGAAGGUCAAGCUGAAGACUUUACCAGACAAGCUGAGAGGUGGUGCAUGGCCGUCGCCAGCUCGUGCCGUGAGAUGUCCUGUUAAGUCAGGUAACGAGCGAGAUCCCUGCCUCUAGUUGCCACCAUUACUCUCAGGAGUAGUGGGGCGAAUUAGCGGGACCGCCGCAGUUAAUGCGGAGGAAGGAAGGGGCCACGGCAGGUCAGUAUGCCCCGAAACUCUGGGGCCACACGCGGGCUGCAAUGGUAAUGACAAUGGGUUCCAAAUCCGAAAGGAGAGGUAAUCCUCAAACAUUACCACAGUUAUGACUGAGGGCUGCAACUCGCCCUCACGAAUAUGGAAUCCCUAGUAACUGCGUGUCAUUAUCGCGCGGUGAAUACGUCCCUGCUCCUUGCACACACCGCCCGUCGUUUCAUUGAAGUGAGCUUUUAGCGAGGUGACGUCUGAUUGGCGUUAUCGAACUUGAGGUUCGUGACAAGGGAAAAGUCGUAACAAGGUAACC
rnacentral:rRNA from 1 species